GAUGAACGCUGGCGGCGUGCCUAAUACAUGCAAGUCGAGCGAACGGACGAGAAGCUUGCUUCUCUGGUGUUAGCGGCGGACGGGUGAGUAACACGUGGAUAACCUACCUAUAAGACUGGGAUAACUUCGGGAAACCGGAGCUAAUACCGGAUAAUAUUUUGGACCGCAUGGUUCAAAAGUGAAAGACGGUCUUGCUGUCACUUAUAGAUGGAUCCGCGCUGCAUUAGCUAGUUGGUAAGGUAACGGCUUACCAAGGCAACGAUGCAUAGCCGACCUGAGAGGGUGAUCGGCCACACUGGAACUGAGACACGGUCCAGACUCCUACGGGAGGCAGCAGUAGGGAAUCUUCCGCAAUGGGCGAAAGCCUGACGGAGCAACGCCGCGUGAGUGCUGAAGGUCUUCGGAUCGUAAAACUCUGUUAUUAGGGAAGAACAUAUGUGUAAGUAACUGUGCACAUCUUGACGGUACCUAAUCAGAAAGCCACGGCUAACUACGUG
rnacentral:rRNA from 1 species